CAAGACCCUGUCAACCGCAAAUAAAUGCGCUAACAGGACAACCGCCUGUUUUGUUUUGUUUCUAUUCUAGAUAUAUGUGCCGGUUCCAAGUGUCAACAUGGUGUCUGCUAUGUUGGUCACGGUGACUACAUUUGUGUCUGCCAUCCGGGAUACACCGGCCAGUUUUGUGAACUGGUUAUGUCUGGCAAGUGAUUGGCAAUCGGCUGGAUUUCCAACAAUGUAUAUCAUCCGAUCGAGUAUUCAACAUAUAAAUUACAUGUAUCAAUAAAUAUUUGACCUAUUUGAAAAAUACUGAAAUGAUGACA